GUCCACGCCCUAACGAUGAACACUAGUCGUCGCUAUGCUAGUCAUGGCGGUGAUGCACUUAACAGAUUAAGUGUUCCGCCUGGGGAGUACGGUCGCAAGAUUAAACUCAAAGGAAUAGACGGGGACCCGCACAAGUGGUGGAGCAUGUGGUUUAAUUCGAAGAUACGCGAAACCUUACCUGGCCUUGACAUUGAUAGAAUCUGCUAGAGAUAGCGGAGUGCCAGUUUACUGGAGCUUGAAACAGGUGCUGCACGGCUGUCGU
rnacentral:rRNA from 1 species